GCAUCUUGUCAUACCACCUUGUAAAUGCCUGAUCUUGUGAGAUCUUGGAAGCUAAGUGGGGUUGGCCCUGGCUUGUACUUGAAUGGGAAACAGCAGGGAAUACCAGGUGAUGUA
rnacentral:rRNA from 1 species